rnacentral:rRNA from 1 species
UUGGAGGGCAAGUCUGGUGCCAGCAGCCGCGGUAAUUCCAGCUCCAAUAGCGUAUAUUAAAGUUGUUGCAGUUAAAAAGCUCGUAGUUGAAUUUCGGGGUUCUACCGUUGGUCGGGCUUUGUCUGUACCGGUGUGUAGAAUUUCUACCUUCUGGGGAACCAUCAUGCUAUUAAUUUAGCGUGGUGGGAAACCAGGACCUUUACCUUGAAAAAAUUAGUGUGUUCAAAGCAGGCUUAUGUCUGAAUACAUUAGCGUGGAAUAAUAGAAUAGGACGGUGGUCCUGUUUUGUUGGUUUCUGAAUCACCGUAAUGAUUAAUAGGGAUAGUUGGGGGCAUUAGUAUUCAAUUGUCAGAGGUGAAAUUCUUGGAUUUAUUGAAGACUAACUUCUGCGAAAGCAUUUGCCAAGGGUGUUUUCAUUAAUCAAGAACGAAAGUUAGGGGAUCGAAGACGAUCAGAUACCGUCGUAGUCUUAACCAUAAACUAUGCCGACUAGGGAUCGGACGAUGUUAAUUUUUCUUGACUCGUUCGGCGCCUUACGGGAAAC